GACGAACGCUGGCGGCGUGCUUAACACAUGCAAGUCGAACGGAAAGGCCCUGCUUUUGUGGGGUGCUCGAGUGGCGAACGGGUGAGUAACACGUGAGUAACCUGCCCUUGACUUUGGGAUAACUUCAGGAAACUGGGGCUAAUACCGGAUAGGAGCUCCUGCUGCAUGGUGGGGGUUGGAAAGUUUCGGCGGUUGGGGAUGGACUCGCGGCUUAUAAGCUUGUUGGUGGGGUAGUGGCUUACCAAGGCUUUGACGGGUAGCCGGCCUGAGAGGGUGACCGGCCACAUUGGGACUGAGAUACGGCCCAGACUACUACGGGAGGCAGCAGUGGGGAAUAUUGCACAAUGGGCGGAAGCCUGAUGCAGCAACGCCGCGUGCGGGAUGACGGCCUUCGGGUUGUAAACCGCUUUCGCCUGUGACGAAGCGUGAGUGACGGUAAUGGGUAAAGAAGCACCGGCUAACUACGUG
rnacentral:rRNA from 1 species